UUCUAUCAAACAUUUCAAAAAGAAUUAAUCCAAUCCCCUUCCUAGCCAUGGAAGAGCAUUUUCUUGUUUAUUGGCAAAGCUGUCACCAUUUAAUUGGUAUCAGAUUCUGACUUGCACAAGUAACAUUC